GACGGGGGAUGCGAGCGUUAUCCGGAAUGAUUGGGCGUAAAGGGUCCGCAGGUGGCCCGGUCAGUCCGCUGUCAAAGCCUGGGGCUCAACCCUGGAGAGGCGGCGGAGACCACCGGGCUUGAGUCCGGUAGGGGCAGAGGGAAUUCCCGGUGGAGCGGUGAAAUGCGCAGAUAUCAGGAGGAACACCGAUGGCGAAGGCAGGUCUCUGGGCAUUAACUGACGCUGAGGAGCGAAAGCAUGGGGAGCGAACAGG
rnacentral:rRNA from 1 species